CAUAGSUUAAAGAAUCCAUUUUAAGUAACAACUGCCCAGUGAUAUUAAUUAAACGGCUAUAGUAUAAAGACUAUACAAAGGUAGCAUAAUCACUUGUCUUUUAAUUGAAGAAUAGUAUGAAUGUUUACACGAGGGUGACACUGUCUCUAAAUAUACACAAGAAAAUUAAUUUAAAAGUGAAGAAGCUUUUAUACCAUUAAAAGACGAGAAGACCCCAUUGAAUUUCAAAAUAACUACAAUUAAUAGUAUGUUUUAAGUUGGGAUAACUUAGGAAAAGGCUUCCUAUUCAAGCAAAAACCAUAAGGAUCCUUUAUCAAAGAUCAUCAGACUAAAUUACCAUGGGGAUAACAGGAUAAUAUU
rnacentral:rRNA from 1 species